UACGUAGGGCGCGAGCGUUGUCCGGAAUCAUUGGGCGUAAAGAGCGUGUAGGCGGCUUGGUAAGUCCGCUGUGAAAGUCCAGGGCUCAACCCUGGAAAGCCGGUGGAAACUGUCAAGCUUGAGUCCGGAAGAGGCGAGUGGAAUUCCUGGUGUAGCGGUGAAAUGCGCAGAUAUCAGGAGGAACACCAAUGGCGAAGGCAGCUCGCUGGGACGGUACUGACGCUGAGACGCGAAAGCGUGGGGAGCAAACAGG
rnacentral:rRNA from 1 species